CGCCAGCCUGACGGAGCCAGACCGCGUGGGGGAAGAAGGUUCUUGGAUUGUAAACCCCUUUUCUCAGGGAAGAAGUUCUGACGGUACCUGAGGAAUCAGCCUCGGCUAACUCCGUGCCAGCAGCCGCGGUAAUACGGAGGAGGCAAGCGUUAUCCGGAAUUAUUGGGCGUAAAGCGUCCGCAGGGGGCUCAUCAAGUCUGCUGUUAAAGGUCGGAGCUCAACUCCGGUUCGGCAGUGGAAACUGGUGAGCUAGAGGGCGACAGGGGUAGAGGGAAUUCCCAGUGUAGCGGUGAAAUGCGUAGAGAUUGGGAAGAACACCGGUGGCGAAAGCGCUCUACUGGGUCGCGCCUGACCCUCAGGGACGAAAGCUAAGGUAGCG
rnacentral:rRNA from 1 species